GACGAACGCUGGCGGCGUGCUUAACACAUGCAAGUCGAACGGUGAAGCGCCUUCCUUUUUGGUGGGUGUGGAUGAGUGGCGAACGGGUGAGUAACACGUGAGUAACCUGCCCCCUUCUUCUGGAUAACCGCAUGAAAGUGUGGCUAAUACGGGAUAUUCUGGGUCUGUCGCAUGAUGGGUCUGGGAAAGAUAUUGUUUCGGUGGGGGAUGGGCUCGCGGCCUAUCAGCUUGUUGGUGGGGUGAUGGCCUACCAAGGCGGUGACGGGUAGCCGGCCUGAGAGGGUGGACGGUCACACUGGGACUGAGACACGGCCAAGCCUCCGACGGGAGGCAGCAGGGGGGAAUAUUGCACAAUGGGCGCAAGCCUGAUGCAGCGACGCCGCGGGGGGGAUGGAGGCCUUCGGGUUGUGAACCUCUUUCGCCAGUGAAGCAGGCCUGCCUCGUUUGUGGGUGGGUUGACGGUAGCUGGAUAAGAAGCGCCGGCUAACUACGUG
rnacentral:rRNA from 1 species